rnacentral:misc_RNA from 1 species
GGGCUAAAUGCAAUGGAGAUAAUAUCCUCGUUGUACGCUGAGCAUGCAUCUGGAAAUACAGGAGUGGGUAUAGACUUGGAAGAAGGAAUUUGCAAGGAUGUUUCCACGAUGAAUAUCUGGGAUCUUCACAUUACCAAGUUCUUUGCUCUUAAGUAUGCUGCAGAUGCUGCUUGUACUGUUCUUCGAGUGGACCAGAUAAUAAUGUCAAAACCAGCUGGAGGCCCCAGGAGAGGAGAUCAACCUGCGGGGAUGGAUGAGGACUAAAUGUUCAAUUGACAUUUCUAUAAGUUAUUCUGCAUCUGGC